AUCUUCAACCCCAUGGCCGAAUAUAGCAAGGAGAAACCAUGGCUAGGGUUUUUCAAGCUUCCAAGCUCGAUUAGCAAGGAAAACUGAAAUUCGGGCUAAAAUGGGGAAAAUACCAAGUGGUGGACGAAAUGGUAAAAAUAGCCAUUUUCGCAUACGAGUGUUGACAAGCCAGCUCGGAAAUCGGAAGCGGUCGGAGGCACGCUCACACUAUCCGUAUACCAUCUUGGCAUAAUGGCUUGUAUAUUUUGAGUAUGGCAUGUAUAGCAUUAUAAUCAUUUUGUAUAUAUGGUCUUAUGAUAUGGUUAUUGAGUGGUAUGGAAA